rfam:Asian citrus Psyllid, Diaphorina citri - Florida Strain, whole genome shotgun sequence.
GCCAGCGGCGAUAGCGCGUUGAACGCAUCAGAUACCGAUAGAUCACUGAAGUUAAGAAACGUUUCGCGAAGUUGGUAUUUGGAUGGGUGACCAUCUGGGGCAAUCUGCUGGCUUUUCCCGGCC